GACGAACGCUGGCGGCGUGCUUAACACAUGCAAGUCGAACGGAAAGGCCCCUUUCGGGGUACUCGAGUGGCGCACGGGUGAGUAACAUGUGAGUAACCUGCCCUUGUCUUCGGGAUAACUUCAGGAAACUGGGGCUAAUUCCGGCUAGGAAUCCUUGCUUCAUGGUGGGGGUUGGAAAGCUUCGGCGGUUUUGGAUGGACUCGCGGCUUAUUAGCUUGUUGGUGGGGUAGUGGCUUACCAAGGCUUUGACGGGUAGCCGGCCUGAGAGGGCGACCGGCCACAUUGAGACUGAGAGAAGGCACAGACGGCUAAGGGAGGAAGAAGGGGGGAAGAUUGAACAAGGGGCGGAGGGCGGGUGAAGAAGCGCCGCGUGCGGGAUGACGGCCUUCGGGUGGUAGAACGCGUUCGGCAGGAGAGAAGCGUGUGGUGACGGUACCUGCAGAAGAAGCACCGGCUAACUACGUG
rnacentral:rRNA from 1 species